rnacentral:rRNA from 1 species
UACGUAGGGUGCGAGCGUUAAUCGGAAUUACUGGGCGUAAAGCGUGCGCAGGCGGUCUUGUAAGUCAGAUGUGAAAUCCCCGGGCUUAACCUGGGAAUGGCAUUGGAAACUGGCUCGCUGGAGUGUGGCAGAGGGGGGUGGAAUUCCGCGUGUAGCAGUGAAAUGCGUAGAGAUGCGGAGGAACACCGAUGGCGAAGGCAGCCCCCUGGGCUAACACUGACGCUCAGGCACGAAAGCGUGGGGAGCAAACAGG